UAAUAUUUAGUGAAAAUAAUUGAUAUAGUAUCGGAUAAUGGCCGAUUGUUUCUAGCCAACACCUAUGUUGGACUAUCAAAAAUAUGAAUUUGGUU
rnacentral:ncRNA from 2 species